GUGAAUAUAGCGUGUCUUCGGAGCGCGACUCUCACUUUACACACUGUGCAUUCUUUCAGCAGAUGGACAAGACUUUCGGGUCGAGUCCCUGCGCUCUCAUUAAACACGAGUUAAUGUAUGUGAAAAUUACAAAACAAAGAA